UCGAGCGGAUGACGGGAGCUUGCUCCUUGAUUCAGCGGCGGACGGGUGAGUAAUGCCUAGGAAUCUGCCUGGUAGUGGGGGACAACGUUUCGAAAGGAACGCUAAUACCGCAUACGUCCUACGGGAGAAAGCAGGGGACCUUCGGGCCUUGCGCUAUCAGAUGAGCCUAGGUCGGAUUAGCUUGUUGGUGAGGUAAUGGCUCACCAAGGCGACGAUCCGUAACUGGUCUGAGAGGAUGAUCAGUCACACUGGAACUGAGACACGGUCCAGACUCCUACGGGAGGCAGCAGUGGGGAAUAUUGGACAAUGGGCGAAAGCCUGAUCCAGCCAUGCCGCGUGUGUGAAGAAGGUCUUCGGAUUGUAAAGCACUUUAAGUUGGGAGGAAGGGCAGUAAGUUAAUACCUUGCUGUUUUGACGUUACCGACAGAAUAAGCACCGGCUAACUCUGUGCCAGCCGCCGCGG
rnacentral:rRNA from 1 species